rnacentral:rRNA from 1 species
UACGGAGGGUGCAAGCGUUGUCCGGAUUCAUUGGGUUUAAAGGGUGCGCAGGCGGGCGAUUAAGUCAGGGGUGAAAGACGGUUGCUCAACAAUCGCAGUGCCUUUGAUACUGGUUGUCUUGGGUGACCUUGAGGUAGGCGGAAUGGGUGGUGUAGCGGUGAAAUGCAUAGAUACCACCCAGAACUCCGAUUGCGAAGGCAGCCUACUGGAGGUUCACCGACGCUCAGGCACGAAAGCGUGGGGAGCAAACAGG